rnacentral:rRNA from 1 species
AGAAUCAACGCUGGCGGCGUGCCUAACACAUGCAAGUCGAACGAGAAAGUGGAGCAAUCCAUGAGUAAAGUGGCGCACGGGUGAGUAACACGUGAAUCAUCUACCUCCGAGUGGGGAAUAACCUAGAGAAAUCUGGGCUAAUACCGCAUAACACUUACGAGUCAAAGCAGCAAUGCGCUUGGAGAGGAGUUCGCGGCAGAUUAGUUAGUUGGCGGGGUAAUGGCCCACCAAGACGAUGAUCUGUA